rnacentral:rRNA from 1 species
UGCAAGUCGAGCGGAACGACACUAACAAUCCUUCGGGUGCGUUAAUGGGCGUCGAGCGGCGGACGGGUGAGUAAUGCCUAGGAAAUUGCCUUGAUGUGGGGGAUAACCAUUGGAAACGAUGGCUAAUACCGCAUAAUGCCUACGGGCCAAAGAGGGGGAUCUUCGGACCUCUCGCGUCAAGAUAUGCCUAAGUGGGAUUAGCUAGUUGGUGAGGGAAUGGGUCCACAAUGCGACGAUCCCUGACUGGGGUGACAGGAUGA